CCUGCCCCGGGAAGCCGGCGCUGCCCGCUGCCGAGCCCCCUCGGUCCCCCCCCCAAAGGGCCGCUCACUUCACGGCGAGGUGACAGCGCCGAGGCCCCCCCGCGCCCCUCUCCCCGCAGCCCAGCCCCGUGCCCAACUCGACGCGGAGCCCAGGGGACGCAAAAAACCCCGCAAGGUCGCUCCGUUUCAACGCCCCCCCUCCCAGCCCCCCCCCCGCCGCCCCUCGCCCCGCCCCGGCCCCUCAGGAGGGCGGCGGGGGCAGGGGGGGCUGCGCCGCCCCCCGGGCGGGGAAACUCUGCCCGGCAGCACCGGGGGAGCUCCGGGGGGGGGCUGAGGGGGUGCCGGGGGGUGCACGGGGGGCCUCCCCCGGCCGCACACGCCAGUCAUUUGCAUGAUAAUGGUGCUCCGCGGGUUCCCCUCCGCCGCGGCCGCAGCGGUUGUUCCCUUUCGCUCGUGUUAAUUAAGCGGAGCGGCGGCGGUGCGGCGGGAGGGGAGGCGCAGGAGGAGGAGGAGGAGGAGGAGGAGGGACGAGGGCUACACGGUGAGUCUGGAAACUCGCUGCGGGAGGACAGCGGCUCGGAGCGGGGCGUCGAGGAGCUCCGGGCUGGCUCCCUGCUCUCGGCGCACACGCGCUGCACGCACACCCGCGCCGAGCUCUGUAGGGCUCCAUAGGCGCCCCUGUACGGCCGCGGCGGCGGCACGGAGCGGGGCGCGGAGCCCCUGCCCCUGCCCCUGCCCCUGCCGGGCGGGCGGGCGGGGGGCGACGCUGCAAGGGGGCGGCCGCUGGGGUUGGGGGGGGCUGAGGGGGGGGGGAGCGGCUCUCCCCGCCGGCUCUGCCGCUGCCGCCGCCGCCGCCGGGCUGCUUCCCCCCGCCGAGCGCUGCCGGCUGCCCCCGCUGGCUCCCCUCGCCCCUACCGCGGGGUCGGUCCGGCUGCCCCUGCGGCCCGGCCCGGCCUGUCCCGCGCCGUGCUGCGCUGCGCUGCCCCGUCCCGUCCCGGGCUGUCCCGUCCCGUCCCGCUGGCGGCGCGGGGCGGCUGCUCGCUCCCAGCCGCUCGCCGGCUGGCGACACAAGGGCACUCUCUGCUCGCCAGCCUCCCCUCGCCUCGCCCCGCCCCCGCCCCGCUCGCCCCGCCCCCUUUCGGCGGGAAGCCCCGCCCCUCGCCCCGCCCCCCGCGCCACACCCCG
rnacentral:lncRNA from 1 species